rnacentral:rRNA from 1 species
AGUGAACGCUGGCGGUAGGCCUAACACAUGCAAGUCGAACGGCAGCACAGUAAGAUCUUGCUCUUACGGGUGGCGAGUGGCGGACGGGUGAGGAAUACAUCGGAAUCUACUUUUUCGUGGGGGAUAACGUAGGGAAACUUACGCUAAUACCGCAUACGACCUACGGGUGAAAGCAGGGGAUCUUCGGACCUUUCGCGAUUGAAUGAGCCGCUGUCGGACUAGCUAGUUGGCGGGGUAAAGGCCCACCAAGGCGACGAUCCGUAGCUGGUCUGAGAGGAUGAUCGGCCACACUGGAACUGAGACACGGUCCAGACUCCUACGGGAGGCAGCAGUGGGGAAUAUGGGGCAAUGGGCGCAAGCCUGAUCCAGCCAUACCGCGUGGGUGAAGAAGGCCUUCGGGUUGUAAAGCCCUUUUGUUGGGAAAGAAAAGCAGCAGGUUAAUACCCCGCUGUUCUGACGGUACCCAAAGAAUAAGCACCGGCUAACUUCGUG